UGCUUUCUUCAUUCUCUGUUGAUAUAACUGACCAUGGCACAUGGCAGUCAAUCUCUUCUCUUCGAUCAGAUUCAGCUGGUCGUAACGACUCUGAGCCCAUUCAGCAUUAGUGAGUUUGGGGUUUGAGGGCGUCAUUUUUUCUUUUAUUUCUCUUUUUUUUUUUUGAUUUUUGAUUUUGAUUUUUGAUUUUUUUUUUUGAUUUUUUUUUUGAUUUUUUGAUUUUGAUUUUGUUUUUUCCA
rnacentral:lncRNA from 1 species